rnacentral:snRNA from 1 species
AGUUUUGAGCAGUGGCAGUGUCGUCGCCAGUGAGAUUUAUCUGAGACAUAAUUAUUGCUAAUUGGAAACUUUGCCCUUUUCUUUUUGGUUUUGUUGGGGAGCCACGCCUGGC